GUUUCUGUAGAAAAGAUAGAUGGUUGGCAUCUCCCUAACAGGGAUGGGAACAUCUUUCGGGCUUUACCUGGUAUGAUACCUGUCACAUCUAGUUAAGGUUACCCACUUCGGUAGAUCUUACCCUAUUUUAU